UCGGCCGUGGUGAAAUUGGCAUCACCUCAGAUUUUGGCUCUGAAGUUUCAGGUUCGAACCCUGGCGGCCGAG
rnacentral:tRNA from 1 species